rnacentral:rRNA from 1 species
UACAGAGGUCCCGAGCGUUGUUCGGAUUCAUUGGGCGUAAAGGGUGCGUAGGCGGCGGGGCAAGCCUGAUGUGAAAUCCCGGGGCUCAACCCCGGAACUGCAUUGGAUACUGCCUUGCUAGAGUACUGGAGAGGGAACUGGAAUUUACGGUGUAGCAGUGAAAUGCGUAGAGAUCGUAAGGAACAUCAGUGGCGAAAGCGACUUCCUGGACCAAUACUGACGCUCAUGUGCGAAAGCGUGGGGAGCAAACAGG